AAAAGAAGGCUGAGAACAACUGAAUUAGAGUCUUCCAUAAUUGAAUUACGUAGUAAAUUAGAAAAAUUUAUGAACAUUUCCUCGAGUAUUUUGAAAACGGAAAACAACGGAAUACUUAAAUCCAGAACAAAUGAAAUUUGAGUCAUUUAAAAACUAGCAACUUGAACUCAGCUUAAAUUACUAGGAUUGCAGUUAAAUUGAACGAAUGUAAGAUAUAAUCGUUUCCAAGAUAAAUAAAGAAGCGUUGAGCGAUGAAGAUAUAUUUUGCUGUCGUGAGG